CGCGUAGGUGGUAGUGUAAGUCUGGGGUGGAAUCCCAGGGCUUAACCCUGGAACUGCCUUGGAAACUGCAUUACUUGAGUCAGUGAGGGGGAGAGUAGAAUUCCUGGUGUAGCGGUGAAAUGCGUAGAUAUCAGGAGGAAGGCCUGUGGCGAAGGCGGCCCUCUGGCGCUGAACUGACACUGAGGCGCGAAAGCGUGGGGAGCAAACAGGAUUAGAUACCCUGGUAGUCCACGCCCUAAACGGUGGGCACUAGGUGUAGGGCUCGUAAGGGUUCUGUGCCGAAGGGAAACCAUUAAGUGCCCCGCCUGGGGAGUACGGCCGCAAGGUUGAA
rnacentral:rRNA from 1 species